rnacentral:rRNA from 1 species
AUUGAACGCUGGCGGCAGGCCUAACACAUGCAAGUCGAGCGGAUGAAGGGAGCUUGCUCCUGGAUUCAGCGGCGGACGGGUGAGUAAUGCCUAGGAAUCUGCCUGGUAGUGGGGGAUAACGUCCGGAAACGGGCGCUAAUACCGCAUACGUCCUGAGGGAGAAAGUGGGGGAUCUUCGGACCUCACGCUAUCAGAUGAGCCUAGGUCGGAUUAGCUAGUUGGUGGGGUAAAGGCCUACCAAGGCGACGAUCCGUAACUGGUCUGAGAGGAUGAUCAGUCACACUGGAACUGAGACACGGUCCAGACUCCUAAGGGAGGCAGCAGUGGGGAAUAUUGGACAAUGGGCGAAAGCCUGCUCCAGCCAUGCCGCGUGUGUGAAGAAGGUCUUCGGAUUGUAAAGCACUUUAAGUUGGGAGGAAGGGCAGUAAGUUAAUACCUUGCUGUUUUGACGUUACCAACAGAAUAAGCACCGGCUAACUUCGUG